GACGAACGCUGGCGGCGUGCUUAACACAUGCAAGUCGAACGGAAAGGCCCUGCUUUUGUGGGGUGCUCGAGUGGCGAACGGGUGAGUAACACGUGAGUAACCUGCCCUUGACUUUGGGAUAACUUCAGGAAACUGGGGCUAAUACCGGAUAGGAGCUCCUGCUGCAUGGUGGGGGUUGGAAAGUUUCGGCGGUUGGGGAUGGACUCGCGGCUUAUCAGCUUGUUGGUGGGGUAGUGGCUUACCAAGGCUUUGACGGGUAGCCGGCCUGAGAGGGUGACCGGCGACAUUGGGACUGCGAUACGGCCCAGACUCCUACGGUAGGCAGCAGUGGGGAAUAUGGCGCAAUGGGCGGAAGCCUGAUGCAGCAACGCCGCGUGCGGGAUGACGGCCUUCGGGUUGUAAACCGAUUUCGCCUGUGACGAAGCGUGAGUGACGGUAAUGGGUAAAGAAGCACCGGCUAACUACGUG
rnacentral:rRNA from 1 species